rnacentral:rRNA from 1 species
UGGGGGAUAUUGCACAAUGGGCGAAAGCCUGAUGCAGCGACGCCGCGUGGGGGAUGAAGGCUUUCGGGUUGUAAACCUCUUUCGCUAUCGAACAAGGCCCGCUUAGGGUGGGUUGAGGGUAGGUGGAGAAGAAGCGCCGGCUAACUACGUGCCAGCAGCCGCGGUAAUACGUAGGGCGCGAGCGUUGUCCGGAAUUAUUGGGCGUAAAGGGCUUGUAGGCGGCUUGUUGCGCCUGCUGUGAAAACGCGGGGCUUAACUUCGCGCGUGCAGUGGGUACGGGCAGGCUUGAGUGUGGUAGGGGUGACUGGAAUUCCAGGUGUAGCGGUGGAAUGCGCAGAUAUCUGGAGGAACACCGAUGACGAAGGCAGGUCACUGGGCCAUUACUGACGCUGAGGAGCGAAAGCAUGGGUAGCGAACAGG